GUGAGGAAUUUUCCGCAAUGGGCGAAAGCCUGACGGAGCAAUGCCGCGUGAAGGAUGAAGGCCUAUGGGUUGUAAACUUCUUUUCUCAGAAAAGAAUUAUGACGGUAUCUGAGGAAUAAGCAUCGGCUAACUCUGUGCCAGCAGCCGCGGUAAGACAGAGGAUGCAAGCGUUAUCCGGAGUGAUUGGGCGUAAAGCGUCUGUAGGUUGUUUAAAAAGUAUUCUGUCAAAGAUUAGGGCUUAACCCUAGAUAGGCAGAAUAAACUUUUAAGCUAGAGUUUGGUAGAGGCAGAGGGAAUUCCCGGUGGAGCGGUGAAAUGCGUAGAUAUCGGGAGGAACACCAAAGGCGAAGGCACUCUGCUGGGCCAAUACUAACACUGAGAGACGAAAGCGAGGGGAGCAAAUGGGAUUAGAUACCCUUGUAGUCC
rnacentral:rRNA from 1 species